rnacentral:rRNA from 1 species
UCUGAAUCUGCGUACGGCUCCGCACACCAGUUGUAAACCAAAGCAAGCAAGCCUGACCCCGAGGCCUUCACAGGUCAAAGGGCCAGGUUACAAGGAUAACCCUGGUAAUUCUGAGGCUAAUACGUGACACGAACCUGUCGACUGGGGGCUUGCCCCUGGGAAGCGGGGGAUGUGCGACUAUCGGGCCAAAAACAACCGGAAAGAGCGCACGUUCAGACCACUCCAAAAAAGGUCUGCAGGAUCCCUCACGGGGUUUUGCGGAUCUUGUGGCUCUUGCACUGUGCUUCUGACCUAUCAACUAGACGGCAGCUUAAGGGACAUGCUUUGGU